AGUGAACGCUGGCGGUAUGCUUAACACAUGCAAGUCGAACGGCAGCACAGUAAGAGCUUGCUCUUACGGGUGGCGAGUGGCGGACGGGUGAGGUAUACAUCGGAAUCUACUUUUUCGUGGGGGAUAACGUAGGGAAACUUACGCUAAUACCGCAUACGACCUACGGGUGAAAGCAGGGGAUCUUCGCACCUUGCGCGAUUGAAUGAGCCGAUGUCGGAUUAGCUAGUUGGCGGGGUAAAGGCCCACCAAGGCGACGAUCCGUAGCUGGUCUGAGAGGAUGAUCAGCCACACUGGAACUGAGACACGGUCCAGACUCCUACGGGAGGCAGCAGUGGGGAAUAUUGGACAAUGGGCGCAAGCCUGAUCCAGCCAUACCGCGUGGGUGAAGAAGGCCUUCGGGUUGUAAAGCCCUUUUGUUGGGAAAGAAAAGCAGCAGGUUAAUACCCCGCUGUUCUGACGGUACCCAAAGAAUAAGCACCGGCUAACUUCGUG
rnacentral:rRNA from 1 species